GCUGGGCGGGACUUUCGGCUUUGCGUGCAGGAGGUUCUUUGAAACUUUCUGGAUCUGUCAGUCUGGUUCACAGAAAACUGGUUUUAUCAGUAUUGGUCAUGGCAGGAAAAUGGUAGAGUUGAGGCGUUUUUCCUCCGUCACGGAGACAGAGCUGAGGUUUUCGACAGCCCGUGUGAUCUAAUCCAAGCUUCGAGGAGGGAUGGCCACGUCCCAGGGCCUGGCUGGCCACUGGAGCCUGAUGGUGAUUGUGGAGGCUGCUGGUGGAGCCCUGCCCCAGAUUGCUAGAACCAAACCCUCUGACUCAAUGUCUGGUGGACUGUACCUCUCAAGGCUUGUGGAAGGGCAUGAGCUCUGACAAAGAGCCCUGGAGUGACCUCUACUGGCAUUACAUGAGGGAAAGGGCUCAGUGAACCUAAGGACCUGACUUUUGUUUAGAGAGACUCUGGUGGCCAAGAAGAUUUGAACAGGUUUCCCAGUAUUCAGUGAAACAUGCUAACCAGAAAGAAGACUGUUUAUCCUUUGAGGAUGUGGCUGUGGACUUCUCCUGGGAGGAAUGGACACUGCUUGAUGACUCUCAAAGGAUGCUGCACCAGACUUUGAUGUCAGAAAUAUGAACACUCAUGUCUUUACUUGACUUAUACCUUCUGGGAUCCGUGACAUGACUCAGCUGGAGUCUUGGGGAGAGCCCUCUGUGCCUGCAUUGAGAUUCCUGACUCCAGGUUGUUGGAUCAAAGUGGAGAGUGAAAUGUCACCCUUUGAGCAGAGUCUGUCUGCAGAAGGUGCCAGUCCAUCCACGCUGCAGCAGCACAUGCUGUGCUGUGCUGUGCUGAGACACCCUUGCUAAGCAUGGACAAUGUGAUGAUCCUCCAGACCUCCUAGGGUCUUCUAAAGCAUCAAGUGACUUACACUAUUGGGGAUACCCCCACAAACACUGAGAGUAGAGAGGCCAUUCAGAGUGAGAAGAACUGCAUACGCAGCGACAGUGGCAAAACUUUUACUAGCACAUCCCACCUCAAUCGACACCGGAAGAUACACACUGGAGAAAAGCCUUUUCAGUGCAGGGAGUGUGGGAUGUCCUUCAGCCAAAAAGCCUUUCUUAUUAAGCAUUUCAGAAUUCACACCGCAGAGAAGCCAUUCAGGUACAGUGAGUGUUGCAAAACCUUCAAGCACAACUGCUACCUUGUUGCUCAUCAGUGAGUUCACACAGGAGUGACACUGUUACAUGGGCUAAAUGUGGCAAGUCAUACAUGAACAGAUCCAGCCUUUUAUAUCAUUAUUGGGUCCAUACUGGAGAAAAUCCAUAGAAGUAUACUAUAGUAGUUUGAAUAGGUUUGGCCCUAUAGAUUCAUGUGUUUGAAUGCUUGGCCCAUAGGGAGUGACACUAUUAGGUGAUGUGGCCUUCUUAGAAUAGGUGUGGCAUUCUUGCAGAAAGUGUGUCACUGUGGGGAUGGGCUUUGAGGUUCAGUGCUCAAGCUCCACCCAGUGUGGGAGAGUCUCUUCCUGGCUGCCUUUAGAUCAGGAUAUAAAACCUCUACUCCACAGCACCGUGUCUGCCUGCAUGCAGCCAUGGUUCCUGCCAAGAUGGUAAUGGAUUGACCUUCUGAAAAUGUAAGCCAGACCCAAUUAAAUGUUUUCCUUUAUAAG
rnacentral:lncRNA from 1 species